AUAUAUGUGCAGAGAUUGAAAAAUAACCUUGAGAGAGUCCAUCCCUCUAACUCCAGUUCAUCAGAAAUUUCUGCUUCUUUGAGACUGAAGUUAGAUUCCACUUCUUCUGACUACACCACCACCAUCAAUCUCCUUCUCUGAACUCCUGGAUCAUUACUUCAAACUGAAACAACUCAUCAGGUAUCUAUAAAGGCAGAAUAGUUGCCUACUGCCCCAACCUCACCAAAUGUUCCAGCAACUCUGAUAUUACCUCACAUGGCAAGAGGGUUUUGAAGAUGUGAUUGAGUCAAGGGUCUUAAAUGGGGAGAUUAUCCUGAAUUAUUCAGGUGGACUCAGUGUAAUCACAAAGGUUUUUCAAAGAUGGAAGAGAGGCAGAAGAGCCAGAAAAGGAUAUGUGACAAUGGAGUCAGUGUCAGAGUUGGAGUGAUGUGAUGUGAGAAGGAUUCAACGUGCUGUUUCUGGCUUUGAGGAUGAAAGAAGGGGCCAUGAGCCAAGGAAUACAGGUGGCUUCUUUCAAGAAGUUGGAAAAGGAGGAAAGACCAAAAAAGGAUAAAACACACCAAAGUUUGUUCAGUCCAGCCAGUCCCCAGCAAAGACCUAAAAGAAUGAAUUCAUUUUC